rnacentral:rRNA from 1 species
AGUGAACGCUGGCGGCGUGCCUAAUACAUGCAAGUCGAACGGAGAUUAAGUAGCUUGCUAUUUAAUCUUAGUGGCGCACGGGUGAGUAAUAUAUAGCUAACUUGCCCAUUACUAAGGGACAACAGUUGGAAACGACUGCUAAUACCUUAUACUCCGUAUCUAUAUAAGUAGAUACGGGAAAGUUUUUCGGUAAUGGAUAGGGCUAUAUCGUAUCAGCUAGUUGGUAAGGUAAUGGCUUACCAAGGCUAUGACGCGUAACUGGUCUGAGAGGAUGAUCAGUCACACUGGAACGGAGACACGGUCCAGACUCCUACGGGAGGCAGCAGUAGGGAAUAUUGCUCAAUGGGGGAAACCCUGAAGCAGCAACGCCGCGUGGAGGAUGACACUUGUCGGAGCGUAAACUCCUUUUCUUGGGAAAGAAUUAUGACGGUACCCAAGGAAUAAGCACCGGCUAACUCCGUG